rnacentral:rRNA from 1 species
GAUGAACGCUGGCGGCGUGCCUAAUACAUGCAAGUCGAACGAAGAUCUAGCUUGCUAGAUCUUAGUGGCGAACGGGUGAGUAAUACAUAAAUAAUCUGCCCAUAUGACUGGGAUUACUAUUGGAAACGAUAGCUAAUACCGGAUCGGUUGAUCGGGGGCAUCUCCGAUGAAUUAAAGUGGGAUUUCUACACAAAUGGAUGAGUUUAAGGAGAAUUAGUUAGUUGGUGGGGUAACGGCCUACCAAGACGAUGAUGCGUAGCCGACCUGAGAGGGUGACCGGCCACACUGGGACUGAGACACGGCCCAGACUCCUACGGGAGGCAGCAGUAGGGAAUUUUCGGCAAUGGGCGCAAGCCUGACCGAGCAACGCCGCGUGAGUGAUUAAGGCCUUCGGGUUGUAAAGCUCUGUUGUAAGGGAAGAACAUUCAGGAUAGGAAAUGAUCUUGAACUGACGGUACCUUACCAGAAAGCCAUGGCUAACUACGUGCCAGCAGCCGCCGUAA